GUACACGCUGUGACUAGCAUAUCAAUAAGCGGAGGAAAAGAAACUAACAAGGAUUCCCCUAGUAACGGCGAGUGAAGCGGGAAGAGCUCAGAUUUGAAAUCUUAAAGGGUUUCCCUUUACGAAUUGUAGUUUAAAGAAGUGUUUUCUGUUGAGGUUUUGGUAAAAGUUCUUUGGAAUAGGACAUCAUAGAGGGUGAGAAUCCCGUAUUUGACCUUUACUUUCAACUUUGUGAUACACUUUCAAAGAGUCGGAUUGUUUGGGAAUGCAGUCCAAAAUGGGUGGUAAAUUUCAUCUAAAGCUAAAUAUUGGCGAGAGACCGAUAGCGAACAAGUACCGUGAGGGAAAGAUGAAAAGAACUUUGAAAAGAGAGUUAAACAGUACGUGAAAUUGUCAAAAGGGAAGCGUUUGACACCAGUGUUGUUUUUCUGAAAAUCAAUUAAAGAACUGUUUAUGCUAAGUUGUUUAGACUUUAUCAGCUAACUGUUUAGUUUUGAGCUUUUCUUUAAUGCACUUUUCAGUUAACAAGUCAACAUCAAUUUCUUUUGCUGUAAAAAAGCUUGAGGAAGGUGGCUUGAGAUUCGUCUUAAGUGUUUAUAGCCUCUUGCCUAUGCAGUCGGAGAGAUUGAGGUCUGCAGCGUAGAUCCUUCGGGGCUAAAUGCAUUUGUGCUAAGUUAUAGCAUUUUAUAGACAACUUGUUGACUAUGAUUUGUCUUGUAGCUUACUCGCUUAUGUUAUUUUACCUACGCUUAGGAUGUUGAAGAUGUAGCACAUCAU
rnacentral:rRNA from 1 species